GCUUCCGAUUGAUUCCGGUUUCGCUGGUGUUCUUUUCCGUUAUUUUGGACGGUAUUAUUGGUUUUGAGCUUGGGGUUCUGCAUUUUAUGCGUCCCGGAGGGUAUGCGUAUCGUUCCUACUCGAUCGAUUUUUUGAUGUAACAAUGGUUGAAUAGCCAUGGGGAGCGCCGUGAGGUUGGGAAAAAGGCAUUUUUAAUGUUGGUUUCAACUGGAAAUGGGAUUCGAUUACCGUGGAAAUAGUCUCACGUUACUCCUGUGGUAAACCCUAGGGUUUAAUCCUAGCUCAUCCAAGUAAAUCUUGAAUCUUUUUGGAGUUCGGAGGCCGAUCGAGCGACCCUCUUGUUCUUCUUUGAUCCUGCAAAGCGAGGCUUUCCCUGUUGGUUCCGGUUUCACUGGUGUUCUUGGAUUCUGUUGUGGAUGGUACCCUUUAUUGAGAGUUUGGGGUCCUGGAUUUGAUGGGGUCCUGGAUUGGAUUGGUCGCGGAGUGUAAAGCUCGUUCUUUUACAGCUACUCGAGGUGCAUAUCGUUCCUACUCGAUCGAUUUUUCCUAUGUAACAGGGUUGAAUAGCCAUGGGGAACGAUGUAAGGUUGUAAAAGAAAUCAUCAUUUCUGAUGUUGUUUUCGACUGGAAAUUUUGGUUACCUUAGAAAUUAUUUCACGGUGGUUAGAAAAUUGCUAUUCUCCUGUGGUGGAAAAUAUGAGUUUGGUUUCUUAUUAGAUAGAUAAUUUUGUUUCCUUCUUACAGGACAUAUAUGAUUCUUAUAGUAUCCAUGGUUAGGCUUAUGCACAGUACCUGUUUGUGAUAUUGUUGUUGGUUGAUGACCAUUUCACUAGAAGACAUGCUUUGGAAUUGCUUUUAUAAGGUGUAUAGGUCUGGCAGUGACUUGCUCCUUUAUCAGUGAGUUGGUGAACUCCCCAUGUUAUACAUUGUUAGCCUACGGGGUUGGAUUGUUCUUCCUUAUGGGUGUGCUUGACAUUAUGUUAGACAUUUAAAUCAGAAGUGGUUGAGUCUCAGCUGUUAUACUCUUUCUUGAAACAUGGAAUGCUUUAAUUUCUUUUCCCUUUCUUUGUCAUUGUUGCAAGACAACCACAGGCAGCCAUCUCCUUCAUCUCAUCCCAUCUUCAACCUGGUGAAGAUGCAUUAGUCCAUUACUGGUCAACUUGCACACCUGCCCAUCAGAGCUUGCUUAAAGAUCUUAAAGAUCCUAAAGCCAGAAACACAGUGCUUCCUUGCUUCGUCUUUGAAGCUAACACUCUGAACCAACUCGACUGGUUUGGACAGGGGAAGCAUCUCUGGGUCACCCACCAUGAAGGCACUCGUACUUGUUGGAAGCUUUGAGACCAGCUUGAAGCCAUUGACUCUGAGCAUGCCCAAGUCACUUCUGAUCUUGCACCAGGUUUGUCACUACACAUCUGUCGGGGUGACUGAAGUUAUCUUGGCCAUCAAUUACCAGCCACAGGUGAUGAUGAGCUUUCUGAAAGAGUUUGAAUCGAAGCUUGGGAUCAAGAUAACCUGUUCUCGAGAAACUGAGCCUUUGGGCACUGCAGGUCCACUGGCUCUUGCCAAGGAGAAGCUGCUUGGGGGAGCCUGACAAGCCCUUCUUUCUGCUCAACAGUGACAUCGUAUGCGAGUACCCAUUGAAAGAGGUGCUUAGUUUUCACCAGGCUCAUGGUGGAGAAGCAUCGAUCAUGGUGACCAAGGUUGCCGAACCAUCUAAGUACGGGGUGGUGCUCCUGGAUGAGGAAUCCGGGCAAGUCAAGGAGUUCGUCGAGAAGCCACCGGUGUACGUCGGCAACAGAAUCGAUGCUGGCAUCUACCUGCCGAGCAUCGACGUUCUCAGUCGUGUUUUGCCGCGGCUGAGGUUGUUGGAACGGCAAGUCUUUCCAUCCAUUGCUGCGAGGGAGGCCUGUACGCCAUGGUUCAUGCCGGAUUUCUGGAUGGACAUGGGACAGCCCAAGGACUACCUCGCAGGUCUCAGAUUCUGCCUGGACUACGUGAAACGGCAUUCUCCGUCGGCGCUCGCUGCAGGGCAGUACAUUAUCGGGAAAGUGCUGGUGGGCGGCAGUGCGAAGGUGGGGGAAGAAUAUUCGAUCGGGGGCCGGACGUGGUCGUGGGACCGGGCUGCGUGAUCGAGCCUGGGGUGAGACUGUCGUCGUGCACGCUGAUGAAGGGGGUGAGAGUGAAGAGUUCCGCUCACGUUUCGGGUAGCAUCAUCGGGUGGCACUCGACCAUCGGCGGGUCGGCGCAGGUGAGCCGCAUGACUGUGCUCGGAAAGGACGUGCACGUGAAGGAGACGGUGUUCCUCGAUGGAGUCUCGGUUCUGCCUGAAGCUGGAGAUCGUCGCGGGAACAAAACCAGUGGCAGGUAAGUACUGAAGCUAAGAAUAAUGGUUCUAUUGGAAGGAAAGAUUUGGAUUCACAUAUUGUUCCCUGGAUUUAGAUUUAGAUAUAGAUAUAGAUAGUGUUGGGACAAAAACAAUUUAUCAUCCUACUUUUUGGUGGUAAAAGAAUCGAUGUCGGAUAGUUGGAAA